rnacentral:rRNA from 1 species
UACGGAGGAUCCAAGCGUUAUCCGGAAUUACUGGGCGUAAAGAGUUGCGUAGGUGGCAUAGUAAGUAGAUAGUGAAAGCGUUCGGCUCAACCGGAUACACAUUAUCUAAACUGCUAAGCUCGAGGAUGAGAGAGGUUAUUGGAAUUCCCUGUGUAGGAGUGAAAUCCGUAGAUAUAGGGAGGAACACCGACGGCGUAGGCAGAUAACUGGCUCAUUCCUGACACUAAGGCACGAAAGCGUGGGGAGCAAACGGGG